UAAAAAUGUGCUAAUAACGUUAUUCUGAGAGUUAUUUCCCUCGGCAUUAUGAACGUGCAUCUAACCCACGGGACCGCGCUGCCCGGCACGUUCAUGUGAUGUGACGUGUUCAGCACCUCCCCCUUCACACGCGGUCACGUUCAGUGUUCACUGUCACGUCACUGAGGCUAAAGAGACAAUGCUUUAUAUAUACAGUAUAUGCUAACAACCGACAACAGUUUGCUCCAAAAGAUGGCAGAAAUAGCCGGAUCGACAUCCAGAGAGGAAAUCCUGAAGGAAAGUGGGCCUCCCGCCAUACUUGGACAAGGUCCCAAUGUGUGGAUAAUAGGGAGCAGCUACGUUAGACGUGGGGAAGAAAGAGCCAGACACACCAUGGGAAGCAACCUGGGUCUCAAUUGCCGUGUGUGGUGGUUUGGCAAGGGUGGUCUGAGGUGGAGGAACCUUCUUCCCUUUUUCUAUUAGUCCUUGAGAGAAAGAACAGUCCCGGAUGUCCUGCUCAUCCACUGUGGCGGCAACGACCUUGGCAACAUCAAAGGUGUGGAGCUUGUCACAGCGAUGAAGCAGGACCUGCUUUCCCUCAGUGACAACUUCUCAGAGA